CCCCCUUUAAAAGCACUCGCUGGGCCUGUUGGUAAUGACCCAUUGAGCCGUCAAGAAGGGGCAGAGUACAAACACCGCUUUUGGGUGAAGCGGCAGCGUGCUGUGUUGUUUUGCUUCAAUCGGUGGUGUGACAAGA
ensembl:snoRNA